GACGAAUGCUGGCUGCGUGCUUAACACAUGCAAGUCGAACGGUGAAAGGGAGCUUGCUCCCUGGAUCAGUGGCGAACGGGUGAGUAACACGUGGGCAACCUGCCCCUCACUCUGGGAUAACUCCGGGAAACCGGGGCUAAUACCGGAUACGACCUGGUGCGACAUCGCACCGGGUGGAAGGAACUUCGGUGAGGGAUGGGCCCGCGGCCUAUCAGCUUGUUGGCGGGGUAACGGCCCACCAAGGCGACGACGGGUAGCCGGCCUGAGAGGGCGACCGGCCACACUGGGACUGAGACACGGCCCAGACGCCUACGGGAGGCAGCUGUGGGGAAUAGUGCGCAAUGGGCGAAAGCCUGACGCAGCGACGCAGCGGGAGGGACGAAGGCCUUCGGGUUGUAAACCUCUUUCAGCGGGGACGAAGCGAAAGUGACGGUACCCGCAGAAGAAGCACCGGCUAACUACGUGCCAGCAGCCGCCGUAAUAC
rnacentral:rRNA from 1 species